GUGUUAGCGAGACGACGAGGCGCUGCGUCAAUGAUCGAGCGAGGGAACACGCUCUCACGGUAAAGAAUAAGGACGGCGCGCAUUUAAGCGCGCAUGUCGCUUCAUGUGGAUGCACACCAUGCUUCACGCAGAUUAGGAUCCUGGGAAAAAGUAAAAGCAAGGUAGCGCGGGAAAUUUUGGAGGCAUAUCACA
rnacentral:lncRNA from 1 species